ensembl:snoRNA
AUUCUUUUUUGGUUUGUGUGGUGGUUGGGUUUUCACACCAUUGGGUGACAUGUGCCUCCCUCUAAACCUUGUUACAUGGGCACAUUACCUGUCUGAUG